CCUCUCACCUCGGGGUGCCCAUGUGGCUGAGAUGCGAAAGCGAACCCGUUGAACCUGAUCCGGCUAACACCGGCGGAGGGAAGGUCGAACACCGGUCC
rnacentral:ncRNA from 1 species